rnacentral:rRNA from 1 species
CACGUAGGCACCAAGCGUUGUCCGGAUUUAUUGGGUUUAAAGGGUGCGUAGGCGGAUUAGUAAGUCAGUGGUGAAAGCCCAUCGCUUAACGGUGGAAUUGCCAUUGAUACUGCUAGUCUUGAGUAUGGUUGAGGUGGGCGGAAUGUGUCAUGUAGCGGUGAAAUGCUUAGAUAUGACCCAGAACACCAAUUGCGAAGGCAGCUUGCUAAACCAUAACUGACGCUGAUGCACGAAAGCGUGGGGAGCAAACAGG